GAUGAACGCUGGCGGCGUGCCUAAUACAUGCAAGUCGAGCGAACAGACGAGGAGCUUGCUCCUCUGACGUUAGCGGCGGACGGGUGAGUAACACGUGGAUAACCUACCUAUAAGACUGGGAUAACUUCGGGAAACCGGAGCUAAUACCGGGUAAUAUAUUGAACCGCAUGGUUCAAUAGUGAAAGACGGUUUUGCUGUCACUUAUAGAUGGAUCCGCGCCGCAUUAGCUAGUUGGUAAGGUAACGGCUUACCAAGGCAACGAUGCGUAGCCGACCUGAGAGGGUGAUCGGCCACACUGGAACUGAGACACGGUCCAGACUCCUACGGGAGGCAGCAGUAGGGAAUCUUCCGCAAUGGGCGAAAGCCUGACGGAGCAACGCCGCGUGAGUGAUGAAGGUCUUCGGAUCGUAAAACUCUGUUAUUAGGGAAGAACAAAUGUGUAAGUAACUAUGCACGUCUUGACGGUACCUAAUCAGAAAGCCACGGCUAACUACGUG
rnacentral:rRNA from 1 species